CAACUCACUGCUCUUUAGGGUUGUCACGGUACUCGGUACUUCGGUACCAAGUCGGUACCAGCACUGCUGUCGUACUGUCGGUACUUGUAUUUUCAUGGUACCGGUAGUACCGAUGGUACCGAAGGAAACGGACGUAAGAGAUGUUUACAUCCGCCCGCUGCUAGCUAAACAGUUGGGUGGAGAUGGCUACAUCGAGUGCAGCGGGAGCGGCUGCUCCGCCUCAGCUCGUUGAAAAAAAGGGAACCAGGAGCCACAUAUGGAAGUACUUUGGCUUCAGGCCAAACGACAAAGGGGACAUAAUAAAUCCCCAAAACCCAAUUUGCCGAAGAUGUGGAAAGGGAUUCAAUACGAAAGGAGGAAACACGUCCAAUCUAGCAAAGCACCUUAAAGACAGGCACCCGGAUCUAUACAAAGAAUUCAAGGUGAGCAGAACUUUACGAAGUUUUUGCUAGCGGACCACAACGGAGCCUUACCGAGGCACAUUUUAAUUUGACAUUUCUGUUAAAUACUUGAGGGCAUGCCAUUAUAGAAAUAUUUUUUUAAUUAUUAUUCUUAUUUCUUUUUUAUUUAUUUGUUUGUUCUUUAGUAAAAAAAACACAAUCUUUGUGUAAAUACUUGAAGGGAAAACACCAAGGUAUAUAUUUUAUUAUUAUUUAUCUGUUCAAGUUUCUACAAUGUAAACAGAUUAAUAUUUUAAUAAAGAUGCUGGAUAUCUUGAAUAAAUUAGUCUUUUUAUUUUUUUGCCGUGGUAUCGAAUUAGGUAUCGAGUAUUGUGUAACUUCACUGGUA